AGCAGAGUGGUGCAGCGGAAGAGUGCUGGGCCCAUAAGCCAGGGGUUGAUGGAUUGAAACCAUCCUCUGCUA
rfam:Caprimulgus carolinensis contig110039, whole genome shotgun sequence.